AAUCCACAGCUCUUUAUAUUUCUUUUGUGAAGCAAGUUACAUAUUGUGUUUAAUACCUGAGAAAAUGAACCACGUGAAAUCAAGAGUAACAUGUGACAACAAAGCCAAGAUUACAUCCUUGUGUUCAUGAAAGACCCACGCAGUAGAUUCCCCUUUGAUGCAAAUGCUCUUUCGUCACCGCCGCAAAAGAUAUAUAAACGCCGGAGUGACAGAGGGCAGACAGGUUUGUGAGAGAGGACUCCGCAGGUUAGACAGAAGAGAUCACCUCCUUUGUUGCUCUCUGAGUUCAAGGAAUUUGCUCCGGUUAAUUAGCCUCACCAUGAACUUCCCUUCUCUUUUGUUUAUUCUUGGUCUGAUGGGGAUGGUGUGCAGCGAAAGUGUAUGUGGCCCUGACUGCAAAAGUACCACUAACUAUUGCCAGCCAGACUUCAAACAUGUGUCGGAACUCCGGCACUCUUCAAUUGCACCCUGGAAUUUUGAUGAGGAUAAGAUAAACGGCCGGGAGCCCGCAAUAAUCCAGUAUGCUCAUUGCAAUAGUUGUAAUGUGAAGGACAUGAUCGCUAAACCUAUCAUCCUCCAGGUUUCGGUCUACCGCCACGUGCGCGUAAACGACACCAGUUACACGUGGUGCAAGUGUCCCUUCAAUUUGGCUGUUGGGUGUACAUGUGUCAGCAAUAAAUGAAAAUGACCACAGGACAUCAGGACAAGUCAUGGCUGCAGCUGCA
ensembl:lncRNA